ACACACACACACACACACACACACACACACACACACACACACACACACACACACACACACACACACACAGGGCUACAGGUACACGCACACACAGGGCUACAGGUACACACACACAGGGCUACAGGUACACACACACAUACACAGGGCUACAGGUACACACACACACACACACACAGGGCUACAGGUACACACACACACACACACACACACACACACACAGGGCUACAGGUACACACACACACACUCACAGGGCUACAGAUACACACACACACACACACACACACACACACACACACAGGGCUACAGUUACACACACACACACAGGGCUACAGGUACACACACACAGGGCUACAGGUACACACUCACACACACACACACACACACACACACAGGGCUACAGGUACACCCUACACACACACACACAGGGCUACAGGUACACACACACACACACACACACACACACACACACACACACACACACACACACACACACACAGGGCUACAGGUACACACACACACACAGGGCUACAGGUACACACACACACACAGGGCUACAGGUACACACACACACACACAGGGCUACAGGUACACACACACACACACA
rnacentral:lncRNA from 1 species